AAACAUAUGACACAAACACACACAUGAACAUGGAAGAAAACUUAGUAUGCCCAGGUCCAAAGGGCGUGAUCUUCCUCAGAAAAUCCAAAAUUACAAGAACUUUCAGGCGGGUCGGAGUAAUCCACAUCUUCUUCAAGUUUGGGAAAGAGGUACGAAGGGUAGAGACUUUUGCUGAGGUUAUCUUCUUCAUCUUGUGACAUAUCCGAUUGAUCAUGCUCAAACACAUAAGAAGAAUCACCAUGCUCUAGCAGUGCGGAGUUAACUCCAUCGGUGUAAUGUGGACUAUCUGAAUCCAAAAUAUCACUCCUGGCUGAACUGAUAUCUUC
rnacentral:lncRNA from 1 species